UCUGAGUUGUUUUGGGUAGUAUGAGAAGAUCUGAAAACCUAAAAUUUUUGGCGGUUUUAUAGGCUAGUUAGAGGAAUCUGUUCUGUGAGAGAUAUUCCACGUUGGUUUUUACUUUUUUUUUGUUUAUAUACCGCCGUCAUAAAGUAAUUUUUUUAGAAUUUAUUGGAAUACAAUAGGUGUGUAAAAUGACAGGUCUAGGUGUAGCUUAUGGAAAAGGAUGAAAUGGAUUACAAUACUUUAUUAGUAAAUGAAUAUUUUUUAGAAAUAAAAAAUUGAAGGUGGAUUUAAAAGUAAUUUUUAAUUAAAAUGUAAUUUUGAUUUUGGCUCUGUAAAAUGU
rnacentral:rRNA from 1 species